rnacentral:rRNA from 1 species
UACGGAGGGUGCAAGCGUUAUCCGGAUUCACUGGGUUUAAAGGGUGCGUAGGUGGGCAGGUAAGUCAGUGGUGAAAUCUCCGGGCUUAACUCGGAAACUGCCAUUGAUACUAUCUGUCUUGAAUACCCUGGAGGUGAGCGGAAUAUGUCAUGUAGCGGUGAAAUGCUUAGAUAUGACAUAGAACACCCAUUGCGAAGGCAGCUCACUACGGGAUUAUUGACACUGAGGCACGAAAGCGUGGGGAUCAAACAGG